rnacentral:rRNA from 1 species
UACAGAGGGUGCAAGCGUUAAUCGGAAUUACUGGGCGUAAAGCGUGCGUAGUCGGUUAUCUAAGUCGGAUGUGAAAUCCCCGGGCUCAACCUGGGAACUGCGUCCGAUACUGGCAGGCUUGAAUCCGGGAGAGGGAUGCGGAAUUCCAGGUGUAGCGGUGAAAUGCGUAGAUAUCUGGAGGAACACCGGUGGCGAAGGCGGCAUCCUGGACCGGCAUUGACGCUGAGGCGCGAAAGCCAGGGGAGCAAACGGG